AUGGAUGGUUGGAUGGCUACGUGCGCGAACGCGUGCGAGGAAAGUCCGAACACCCGUCAUGUCGCAAGACGUGAUGACAAAGAAAGUCGCUAACGGCGACCAGGUAUACGAAUCAGGGCUCGCGGAAUUGGAGAAAUCUAUUCCAUGGUUCCUGACUCAAAGCCUAGGGAAAGUACCACAGAGACAAUACUAGUUCGGCCCCGGUCGGACGAAAGGUGAAAAGUGAGGUGAUGUCGCAAGGCUACACCUCUCGCUCCAUGGCGACAUGGAAGCGUGGCAAACCCUUUCUGAUGAAAGAGCAAAUUUGGUAGCUCGAUUGAAUCGUCCAGCAAUGGGCGAUCAAGAUAGAUUGCCAUCGUAACAAAAUUCGGCUUACAGACCACUCCCUAUG
rnacentral:RNase_P_RNA from 1 species